rnacentral:lncRNA from 1 species
UCCACAUUUGUCAUACUAUGGGGACAUAAAUUCAUAAGCUGUGUAUAAGAUCUUUCUAGCAUUGACUACAGUCAUUUCAGGCUAAGAUACUUUUUAGGCUAAAGAUCAGAUAAUUGAGAUAUAGCCCGCUAAAAGAGAAGGUUUUAUAAGAAUUCAUAUAUAAGAACAGUAUCGAUUUCCUGAUGGAUAUUUCUCUGGAAAACAAAAACCUCAUUUAUAUGCAGGCAGAUUAAGCAGUAAAUGAAAGACGAGACACGAGUCUUCCGGCCACCGCUUCCCGUCAGGCUGAGGUGUUCUUCCGAGAGUGAAACUGCUGAGAUUGGGAAGAAUCCCACCCUGGAAUAGGGGGGAUGUAGUCCACGGCCAAGGACACAGAGAGAGUGAUCAGAGAAAACAUCAAGUCUUGCUGCUGUUCUACUCAAGCUGCCCCACCUCCCACCUCUAUUUCCUUCAGACAUGACAGUUAACCGACGGAACACAAAUAUCACACUGCGUCCAGCCCUCCAGCUAAAAGUCUAAAGAUUCAGAUUGGAACCACGAUAAUGUUUAAAGCCAUCAUAAAGGAAAAAGACAUAUUGAAGACUCCUCCUCUCAUUGGAUAACAUUUCUCUGUGGAUAAACAAGAC